GAUACUGCAUUGGUUCAUCCACUCUCCAUCCCUUUAAAAAUAGAUGGAGAAACCAUUAUCCCUGUUUGCAGAGUCCCAAACCUGUCAGAUCUUUACAUUCCCCGUCUAUAGGCUUUUCCUGUUGGAUCUGUGUUUUACAAAACUGCCUGGCCAUAGGAACUAUUUGCUUAGGGCCUGGAGAAAGAUGGCUCAGCAGUCAGAAACACUUAACUGCUUUAGCAGGGGACCUGAGUUUGGUUUCCGGUAACCUCACAAUGCUCACAGCUGUCGCUAACUCCAAUCCCAGGGACCCACUGAUCUUGUAGAGCAUCUGGGAGCACGAAUCUCACAUGUAUAUGCCAUAAAAACCACUCAGACACACAAAAUAAAAAUAAAUAUGUUGUUAAAACCCGAAACUGAAAGGAUCUAGAGAGAUGACUCUGUGAUUGCAGGUGCUGGCUACUGUACCUGAGAAGCCACACUCAUUUUCCAGCACAUGGAGCCUCCCCGCUCCAGUUGUAGGGGAUCUGAUACCCUCUUCUGGCCUCUGCAGGUACUGCACACAUGUGGACAGACACGCAGGAAGGCAAAAUACACACAUAAAAAAGGAAAAAA
rnacentral:lncRNA from 1 species